UACGUAGGGUGCAAGCGUUAAUCGGAAUUACUGGGCGUAAAGCGUGCGCAGGCGGUUUUGUAAGUCUGUCGUGAAAUCCCCGGGCUCAACCUGGGAAUUGCGAUGGAGACUGCAAGGCUAGAAUCUGGCAGAGGGGGGUAGAAUUCCACGUGUAGCAGUGAAAUGCGUAGAGAUGUGGAGGAACACCGAUGGCGAAGGCAGCCCCCUGGGUCAAGAUUGGACGCUCAUGCACGAAAGGCGUGGGAGCAAACAGGAUUACGAA
rnacentral:rRNA from 1 species